CCUACGGGAGGCAGCAGUGGGGGAUAUUGCACAAUGGGGGAAACCCUGAUGCAGCGACGCCGCGUGGGCGAAGAAGUAUUUCGGUAUGUAAAGCCCUAUCAGCAGGGAAGAAGAAAUGACGGUACGUGAGUAAGAAGCACCGGCUAAAUACGUGCCAGCAGCCGCGGUAAUACGUAUGGUGCAAGCGUUAUCCGGAUUUACUGGGUGUAAAGGGAGCGCAGGCGGCACGGCAAGCCUGAUGUGAAAGUCCGCGGCCCAACCGCGGGACUGCAUUGGGAACUACCGGGCUGGAGUGCAGGGGAGGUAGGCGGAAUUCCUAGUGUAGCGGUGAAAUGCGUAGAUAUUAGGAGGAACACCAGUGGCGAAGGCGGCCUACUGGACGGUGACUGACGCUGAGGCUCGAAAGCGUGGGGAGCAAACAGGAUUAGAUACCCUUGUAGUU
rnacentral:rRNA from 1 species